GACGAACGCUGGCGGCGUGCUUAACACAUGCAAGUCACGGGGGCUCGCAAGAGCAACCGGCGAACGGGUGCGUAACACGUGAGCAACCUGCCGAUCUGAGGGGGAUAGCCGGCCCAACGGCCGGGUAAUACCGCAUACGUUCUCGAGGGGGAGUCCUCUUGAGAAGAAACCUCCGGGGCAGAUCGAGGGGCUCGCGGCCUAUCAGCUAGUUGGUGAGGUAACGGCUCACCAAGGCANCGACGGGUAGCUGGUCUGAGAGGAUGGCCAGCCACAUUGGGACUGAGAGACGGCCCAGACUCCUACGGGAGGCAGCAGUGGGGAAUCUUGCGCAAUGGCCGAAAGGCUGACGCAGCGACGCCGCGUGUGGGAUGAAGCAUUUCGGUGUGUAAACACUGUUGCCCGGGACGAACAUCCUCUUUCGAGAGGACUGACGGUACCGGGUGAGGAAGCACCGGCUAACUCCGUGCCAGCAGCCGCGGUAAC
rnacentral:rRNA from 1 species